AUAAUACAAGGAUGAGUAACGGAGCGGCACCGCUGCGGUGGCGGUGCCGCUGCCGCUGCGGCGUGUGUGUAAACAGCCUUACGGUCUGACAUAAAUCC